rnacentral:rRNA from 1 species
AGUGAACGCUGGCGGUAGGCCUAACACAUGCAAGUCGAACGGCAGCACAGUAAGAGCUUGCUCUUACGGGUGGCGAGUGGCGGACGGGUGAGGAAUACAUCGGAAUCUACUUUUUCGUGGGGGAUAACGUAGGGAAACUUACGCUAAUACCGUAUACGACCUACGGGUGAAAGCAGGGGAUCUUCGGACCUUGCGCGAUUGAAUGAGCCGAUGUCGGAUUAGCUAGUUGGCGGGGUAAAGGCCCACCAAGGCGACGAUCCGUAGCUGGUCUGAGAGGAUGAUCAGCCACACUGGAACUGAGACACGGUCCAGACUCCUACGGGAGGCAGCAGUGGGGAAUAUUGGACAAUGGGCGCAAGCCUGAUCCAGCCAUACCGCGUGGGUGAAGAAGGCCUUCGGGUUGUAAAGCCCUUUUGUUGGGAAAGAAAAGCAGCAGGUUAAUACCCCGCUGUUCUGACGGUACCCAAAGAAUAAGCACCGGCUAACUUCGUGC